ensembl:snRNA U6 U6 spliceosomal RNA
GUGCUCACUUCAUGAGCAUAUGCAUUUAAAUUAUCAUGACAUAGAGAAGAUUGGCAUGGCCUUUGCCCAAGGAUGACAUGUAAACUCAUGAAAUGUUCAAACUUUUU